CCAUACUGCUAAACACAAAUAUCGCCACCCGUCCCGAUCUAUAGCUGCUUCUUUCCAUCUAAUUUUCGAUUCUUUCCUGAUCUGUUGUGGUAUAAUAUUAUACGAACCGAGAGAUUGGCUCUUGAUAGGCUUAAUAGGACCGUAUUCUGCGGCUCUCCGAUUGCUUACCGCACAUUUACAAUAUCGAUAACGCGCGAUACUUCUGUUAUAAUAAGCGUAUUUCCGGGGUAGUUAAUAAUGUUCCCGA